rnacentral:rRNA from 1 species
AUUGAACGCUGGCGGCAUGCCUUACACAUGCAAGUCGAACGGCAGCACGGGAGCAAUCCUGGUGGCGAGUGGCGAACGGGUGAGUAAUAUAUCGGAACGUGCCCAGUCUGGGGGAUAACGUAGCGAAAGCUACGCUAAUACCGCAUACGAUCUACGGAUGAAAGCGGGGGAUCGCAAGACCUCGCGCGAUUGGAGCGGCCGAUAUCAGAUUAGGUAGUUGGUGAGGUAAAGGCGUCACCAAGCCGACGAUCUGUAGCUGGUCUGAGAGGACGACCAGCCACACUGGGACUGAGACACGGCCCAGACUCCUACGGG